GAUGAACGCUGGCGGCGUGCCUAAUACAUGCAAGUCGAGCGAAUGGAUUAAGAGCUUGCUCUUAUGAAGUUAGCGGCGGACGGGUGAGUAACACGUGGGUAACCUGCCCAUAAGACUGGGAUAACUCCGGGAAACCGGGGCUAAUACCGGAUAACAUUUUGAACCGCAUGGUUCGAAAUUGAAAGGCGGCUUCGGCUGUCACUUAUGGAUGGACCCGCGUCGCAUUAGCUAGUUGGUGAGGUAACGGCUCACCAAGGCAACGAUGCGUAGCCGACCUGAGAAGGUGAUCGGCCACACUGGGACUGCGACACUGCCCAGACUCCUACGGGAGGCAGCAGUAGGGAAUCUUCCGCAAUGGACGAAAGUCUGACGGAGCAACGCCGCGUGAGUGAUGAAGGCUUUCGGGUCGUAAAACUCUGUUGUUAGGGAAGAACAAGUGCUAGCUGAAUAAGCUGGCACCUUGACGGUACCUAACCAGAAAGCCACGGCUAACUACGUGCCAGCCGCCGCAGUAA
rnacentral:rRNA from 1 species